AUAUAUAUGGGUUUACAAACCUCCUCUUGUAAGUUAGCUUUUGAGGUGGAGUCAGGCAGCUCAUAUCACAAACACGUUAAUGUCAUGCAAUGAAUACAAUAACAAUAUUCUCAUACAAGGCAAUUUGCACCAAUAAGCCAAAAGGAGGGAGUGAAAGAUAAAACUAAACCAAGUUGUAGAGAUCUGACCUUGGAAGAAGACUUUGCACUG
rnacentral:misc_RNA from 1 species